rnacentral:tRNA from 1 species
CCGGGCGUGCGCGACGGCACGGCGGUCGGCGUCGAGGCCGACGAGCUGCGGGGCGAAGAUCCCGUCGAUCACGGCGACGAUCCCGGCC